rfam:Mesitornis unicolor contig102343, whole genome shotgun sequence.
GCAUCCGAGUCUUUCCCACUCCUUGCCAUGUAGUGCCGGACGGGGGAUGCGAGAUGCAACAGGACAGCAGAGGAAAUCCAGACAAGCUUCCUUUCACCACAGUGGGACUUGUCUCUACGCCUCUGCAACAUUU